GACGAACGCUGGCGGCGUGCUUAACACAUGCAAGUCGAACGGAAAGGCCCUGCUUUUGUGGGGUGCUCGAGUGGCGAACGGGUGAGUAACACGUGAGUAACCUGCCCUUGACUUUGGGAUAACUUCAGGAAACUGGGGCUAAUACCGGAUAGGAGCUCCUGCUGCAUGGUGGGGGUUGGAAAGUUUCGGCGGUUGGGGAUAGACUCGCGGCUUAUCAGCUUGUUGGUGGGGUAGUGGCUUACCAAGGCUUUGACGGGUAGCCGGCCUGAGAGGGUGACCGGGCACCUUGGGACUGAGAUACGGACCAGACGCCUACGGUGGGCAGCAGUGGGGAAUAUGGCACAAUGGGCGGAAGCCUGAUGCAGCAACGCCGCGUGCGGGAUGACGGCCUUCGGGUUGUAAACCGCUUUCGCCUGUGACGAAGCGUGAGUGACGGUAAUGGGUAAAGAAGCACCGGCUAACUACGUG
rnacentral:rRNA from 1 species